UUUUUACCAAUUCUAAAAUUAAAACUCCUUUGAAAGAUGGAAGGAUGCUGGAAUUCAUUGGAUUUGUGCUGGCAGAGAAAUGCCACAUCUGUCCCGUGUAUUUAAACCAGAAUCAUCUUGCAUGAAUCAUGUUUCUUAUGCAGAGGUGCACCACGCUAACAUGGUUCUAUGACAGAAUUGCUUGACCUAACAUGCGUGUUGACAUGGCAGAGCUCCAGUUAAAAUGGCUCAGUGAUGCUUUUUAUUUUAUAACACGUGUUUUGUGUGUUGGCAUUGUAGGAUUACUGGUUAUCUCUGCUCUUUAAACGUCUGGUGGGCCCGAGGGUGCUUGCGGUGCACGUCGCAGGUCUCCAGAGGAAACCACGCCCUGGACGGGUGAUCCGGGACAAACUCCGCAUCUAUGCGCACUGCACCAGCUUUCACAAUCACGAUUAUGUCAGAGGGUCCAUAACCAUCUACAUCAUCAACCUGCAUCGGUCACGGAAAAAAAUCAAGCUGGCGGGGACAUUACGAAAUAAAACUGUUCACCAAUACCUGUUACAGCCCUUCGGCACAGAUGGACUUCACUCCAUGUCUGUGCAGCUGAACGGAGAGCCCUUGCAUAUGGUGGACAAUGAGACGUUCCCUGAGCUGAAGCCACGGACACUCAGGGCAGGAAGAACGAUAGCCAUGCCACCUGUAUCCAUCGGCUUCUACGUGAUCAAGAAUAUUAAUGCAUACGCCUGCCGCAGAUAACACACACUGACCGACCUCAGACCAUCCUCGUGGCCGUCUCCUCUUUUUAUAAGCCCACAGAGACGUGGAAGAGACUCCUUGGUUCAAGCAAGGGUUGCACUGAAUGCUUCCAACAACAUUUCUCCUCUUUUUUUAACCACAAGAAAAGCUUGACUUGUGGAAAGUGAAUGUAUUUUGGUUGCCCUUUUUUUGUCACUUUCGGUUGCAGGAGUGUAAUGCUUCAUGGAGAGCUUUGUAAUCCGAUGUUGAAGACCAGCGUAAGCUAUGAACCCAGUGCCAACGUGCGGUUCAGAUGCGGCACGACCAUUAUGAAGUAGAUCGAUCAGAAUCGGACCGUUUUCACAUUUUCUGCGGUCAUUUUGUGGGGAAAUCUGUGCAAUGGGUUUGAACAUGGUAAAAUGUGUUAAACAGAUAUGACAGCACUACAUUCUCAUUGGUAGCUAGGAACAUUAUCAGAUCAGCCAAAAUAUUCGAAUGAUGAAAAUGCACAGGACGCAAGCGACAGCCGUUUCAAUUCUCCGGAGUUCUGUGGGUGCGGAUUCUGUGUGGGCCUGUCUGUCAGCUUAAUGUGAUUUAGCCGAGUAGGACGUGUUCCUGGAUCAACAUCCUUGUUGGUUCUUAAACAACAUUCCAGCUUGACAGCCAAUCCGAUUUUAGGGUUAGAUUUGGGGGGCUUGAAUAUUGUUCUUUCAACCAAUCAUUUUGAAGGUAGGUCAUGCUUAGGGUUGCAAGUCUUAGAACUAUGCUUGCUGUGUCAGGACAGAGAAAAGAGGUUUAUCCUGCUAAAUCACAUCGUGCAAAUAACAGUUUGAUCUGAAUUACAUCUCUUUUGUGUGCUUUUUUAGAUUCUGGGGUCUAAAGCCACGUAAAAGGCACACGGCCAAAUCUUGAUCCGUAAUCUUUCUUUUUCAUCGAAGGACAGAAAAUAUAACCUCCUUUUAAAGCCAACUUUAUAACUUUUAACACUGACCCAUGGCCUAAAAAACAGCUUGCAGUCUUGGGUUCUCUGUCCCAUUUUUAUUUUUUUGUUUUUUUUUAGUUGCUGCUUUAUCAUUUCAAACUGUACAACGAUGAAGGUACUACAGAAAGAUAUAUAGAUAUUUACUAAAACAUCCUUAUAUUUUAUUGCUAAAUUAGAAAGGAUUAACAUAACACACAAUCUUUAUGCAAUCUUCAUCGAUUCUCUGAGAAAUACUGCCUUAUAUUUAUGAUGUUUACAUGUUUGAUUUCCCAUUGCUCAGACUCCUUUGAAGCUGUAAGGAAAGAGUAGGGAGUUUUUGAAGGCAUCGUUUUGCUUUAUGAAGAACUGUGUAUCAUAAAGUUGUUGCAGAGCUCAGGAAAUUAGCUUGUCCGUUAGCAUCAUGUUCAAAGCUAUUUUUUUUUUUUUUUUUUGCUAUAACAUUGUGAACCUGAGCUUAGUUUUCCAGAUUUCUUCUGCUAUAUUAUUAAUACUGGGGCCCUGGAAGGUGUUAGACAAUUAAGUCACACUUAAAAUUGUAUUACUUUUACACAUUAUAUCAGUUCAAGUGGUAGUUAUUUUUCAAGCAAUGCAUUUCACAAAAUUAAAUUUGUCAGGUGAUUUAAAAAUGGCAAAGACAAGUAUCAUACAUUCUGAAAAAUUCCCAUUUGGCUUGAUAUUUUGUCUUUUUUUAAUAUUUGUUUUUGAAAACAUUUUAAGUGUCACCAAAUUGUGCAUAUACUUUCAGGGCCACUAUAAAUCCCAUGUACAGCGAUUCAUUUUUGCUGCUAGCUGCCUUAAUUAAAAUUAAGCAUAUGUUUUUGUACAGGUACAAACUUUUUAUAUUAAUAAAUGUACAUACAAUUGGUUUUCGAUUUAAACUGUGUGCUUCCUUGCUCUAUAAAUAUUAUUUAUAUAAAUGUAUAUGUGUGGUUAUGAGUGUGUUUGUGUGUAUAUAUAUAAACAGUUGACUUUCGUCCACAUUGGCAGAUAAUUAUAUUGUACUUUUUGUAAAACAUACAGCAGAGACUGAUUUAAAUGUUUAGCAAUGAAACUGCCCUUUGAAUUUCAAAUGUAUUUCAUUGCUCACAGUAUGCACAUUUGUGUAUCACAAUGUUUUACAUUGUAUAUUCUUUGGUCACUCAGUCACAAUGCAAAAAAAUAAAAAAUAAAAAAAUAGAUAUAUUUAUAUAGUGAUUCAGCUUUCAAACGGAUUUUGUGAAUUCUAUAAAAAGUCUUUUUUUUUUCCCCUCCUCGGGCUUGGUUAUGACAGCGGUUUGAUUUUCCAGGGUCAAUAAUUCUGUCAGCAUCAUAGUAUUUCCUUAGAUUUGGAAGACUCUGUUGUGAUUUUAGAGAUUUAUACGGUCUUUGAUUUGUAUAAUGACACUUUCACAAGCUAUUUUCCUCCUUGAAUGUGUUUAUUGCAGAUUUAGAGUUGUUAAUAUUUUUUGCAG